ACUCCUACGGGAGGCAGCAGUGGGGAAUUUUGGACAAUGGGCGAAAGCCUGAUCCAGCCAUGCCGCGUGCAGGAUGAAGGCCUUCGGGUUGUAAACUGCUCUUGUACGGAACGAAACGGCCUUUUCUAAUAAAGAGGGCUAAUGACGGUACCGUAAGAAUAAGCACCGGCUAACUACGUGCCAGCAGCCGCGGUAAUACGUAGGGUGCAAGCGUUAAUCGGAAUUACUGGGCGUAAAGCGUGCGCAGGCGGUUAUGUAAGACAGUUGUGAAAUCCCCGGGCUCAACCUGGGAACUGCAUCUGUGACUGCAUAGCUAGAGUACGGUAGAGGGGGAUGGAAUUCCGCGUGUAGCAGUGAAAUGCGUAGAUAUGCGGAGGAACACCGAUGGCGAAGGCAAUCCCCUGGACCUGUACUGACGCUCAUGCACGAAAGCGUGGGGAGCAAACAGGAUUAGAUACCCGUGUAGUCCCAU
rnacentral:rRNA from 1 species